rnacentral:lncRNA from 1 species
CUGGAGCAGCCCCUUCUGUGAGGGGAAGUUUAACCAUUCCACACUUGACUUAAUGGCACCCAAGGUUGUUCACCGCAUAGAAAAUUUCAAUUCCGACCAUAAUGCCACUGCUGAGAUAUAACUUAUUUAGGUGAGUUAAAAAGGAACUAGAUUCUGAGCAGACAGAAGCAAUAGAUAAUUGCUACAUUGAUUCAGACAAUGGCAAAGAGGAAAUAGGAAGUGCAUGAAGAGACCCAACCACAGCAUGGAGCUCCUUUGUGGAAUCUUACCCAAGCAGCUCAAGUGGUACCCAGCAACCCAGAUCCGCGAAUAUCGGCAUAUUCUCUCCCCUGGCUACAAUGACUGGUUCAGGCAUGGGCUUAAAACCCAAGCUGGGCUGAGGGAAAAACAGCCACAGGACUUUCCAGAACUAUUGGCAAAAGAGACAUAGUGACUGCUGAGCUUAUGGAAUGCCAGCCUAGAGCUGUAAGUGGUCAUUUUUCUUUCUUAAAUGAAGACUCUACCUGAGGAUAAAAUCAACACAGAGAAAAGCAGAGCCAAAGACAUAGAAAAAUAAAUCCUUCCUGGCUGUGUUUCA